rnacentral:rRNA from 1 species
CUUGGGGUUGUAGGACACUCUAUACGGAGUUACAAAAGAAAGUUAUAAAUGAAGCGGUCUGGAAAGGCCCGCCAAAGACGGUAACAGCCCGGUAGUUGAAAUGGCUUUCCCUCCAGAGUGGAUCCUGAGUACGGCGGAACACGUGAAAUUCCGUCGGAAUCCGGGAGGACCAUCUCCCAAGGCUAAAUACUCCCUAGUGACCGAUAGUGAACCAGUACCGUGAGGGAAAGGUGAAAAGCACCCCGGAAGGGGAGUGAAACAGUUCCUGAAACCGUGUGCCUACAAGUAGUUAGAGCCCGUUAAUGGGUGAUAGCGUGCCUUUUGUAGAAUGAACCGGCGAGUUACGAUUUGUUGCAAGGUUAAGCGGAAAAAGCGGAGCCGUAGCGAAAGCGAGUCUGAAUAGGGCGCAUAAGUAACAGGUCGUAGACCCGAAACCAGGUGAUCUACCCAUGUCCAGGAUGAAGGUAAGGUAAUACUUACUGGAGGUCCGAACCCACGCACGUUGAAAAGUGCGGGGAUGAGGUGUGGGUAGCGGAGAAAUUCCAAUCGAACUUGGAGAUAGCUGGUUCUCUCCGAAAUAGCUUUAGGGCUAGCCUCGAGGUAAAGAGUCAUGGAGGUAGAGCACUGUUUGGACUAGGGGCCCUUCUCGGGUUACCGAAUUCAGAUAAACUCCGAAUGCCAUGUACUUAUACUCGGGAGUCAGACUGCGAGUGAUAAGAUCCGUAGUCGAAAGGGAAACAGCCCAGACCACCAGUUAAGGUCCCCAAAUAUAUGUUAAGUGGAAAAGGAUGUGGGGUUGCUUAGACAACCAGGAUGUUGGCUUAGAAGCAGCCACCAUUGAAAGAGUGCGUAAUAGCUCACUGGUCGAGUGACCCCGCGCCGAAAAUGUACCGGGGCUAAACAUAUUACCGAAACUGUGGAUGAACCUCUUUAGAGGUUCGUGGUAGGAGAGCGUUCUAAGGGCGGUGAAGUCAGACCGGAAGGACUGGUGGAGCGCUUAGAAGUGAGAAUGCCGGUAUGAGUAGCGAAAGAAGGGUGAGAAUCCCUUCCACCGAAUAUCUAAGGUUUCCUGAGGAAGGCUCGUCCGCUCAGGGUUAGUCGGGACCUAAGCCGAGGCCGAUAGGCGUAGGCGAUGGACAACAGGUAGAGAUUCCUGUACCAGUGCUAAUUGUUUAACCGAUGGGGUGACACAGAAGGAUAGGGAAUCGCACGAAUGGAAAUGUGCGUCCAAGCAGUGAGUGUGAGAAGUAGGCAAAUCCGCUUCUCGCGAAGCAUGAGCUGUGAUGGGGAAGGAAAUUAAGUACGGAAGUUCCUGAUUUCACGCUGUCAAGAAAAGCCUCUAGGAAGAGUAGUACUGCCCGUACCGCAAACCGACACAGGUAGAUGAGGAGAGAAUCCUAAGGUGAGCGAGAGAACUCUCGUUAAGGAACUCGGCAAAAUGACCCCGUAACUUCGGGAGAAGGGGUGCUCUAUUAGGGUGCAAGCCCGAGAGAGCCGCAGUGAAUAGGCCCAGGCGACUGUUUAGCAAAAACACAGGUCUCUGCAAAACCGUAAGGUGACGUAUAGGGGCUGACGCCUGCCCGGUGCUGGAAGGUUAAGAGGAGUGCUUAGCUUCGGCGAAGGUACGAAUUGAAGCCCCAGUAAACGGCGGCCGUAACUAUAACGGUCCUAAGGUAGCGAAAUUCCUUGUCGGGUAAGUUCCGACCCGCACGAAAGGCGCAACGAUCUGGGCACUGUCUCAACGAGAGACUCGGUGAAAUUAUAGUACCUGUGAAGAUGCAGGUUACCCGCGACAGGACGGAAAGACCCCGUGGAGCUUUACUGCAACCUGAUAUGGAAUGUUUGUACCGCUUGUACAGGAUAGGUAGGAGCCGAAGAGACGUGUGCGCUAGCAUACGAGGAGGCAAUGGUGGGAUACUACCCUGGCUGUAUGACCAUUCUAACCCGCCACGCUUAGCGCGUGGGGAGACAGUGUCAGGUGGGCAGUUUGACUGGGGCGGUCGCCUCCUAAAGAG